rnacentral:tRNA from 1 species
GCGCCCGUAGCUCAGUGGUAGAGCGCUUCGUUGACAUCGAAGAGGCCCGAAGUUCAAUCCUUCGCGGGCGCACAA